UGCAUCGGAACGUGCCCAGUCGUGGGGGAUAACUUGCCGAAAGGUAAGCUAAUACCGCAUACGUCCUGAGGGAGAAAGCGGGGGAUCUUCGGACCUCGCGCGAUUGGAGCGGCCGAUGUCAGAUUAGCUAGUUGGUGGGGUAAUGGCCUACCAAGGCGACGAUCUGUAGCGGGUCUGAGAGGAUGAUCCGCCACACUGGGACUGAGACACGGCCCAG
rnacentral:rRNA from 1 species